GAUUUGGCCCACGCAGCCGCAGGGGAGACGCGGGGAGAGGCCCGGCCCACGGGGGGCUCCGGACGGCGCCUGUUCAGGCCGGUUUAAGGAGGUGUCUAUGGAGGGACGUGAAAAUCCUCAGGGCCACACGGCGCGGAGGACGUCCUGGUCUGCCUGGACGGCAGCAGGGAGACCUUGCGGGGUGUCGCUCUUCUCUGGGAGCUGUGGGGCGGUUAAGGAGGCGCACUUCAAGGUCAGGGCUCCCCGACAUCGCGCGCCCCUUCUCCUGUAGGGACAGCGCCCGUCCCGCCUCCAGGCGCUCUUGGUGCCACUGGCGUCACAACCCCACUGGAGGCGGGGGAAGGAAGAGCCCCGGCCGGUUCCCUCUGUCACCCACCUACCCACCCGCACGCACGCAAGAUCAGACACACGCGACUUCGCUUCCCGGGUGGUCCUGACACCCACCCUAAAGCAGGGGAAAAGUCCCAGUGAAGACAAAAAAACAUGGUGGCCCCAAUCCACAGCACAGAGGGCCUCUGAGGGUCCUUCUGGAAUGUCCAGCACUGCUCCACUACCACGCUCUCCGGGUCUUCUCUGGACUGAGGACGUUUCUCCCAAGCCUGGGCUCCCCUGACACACUGCCUGGGCAAGCCCUAGGGAGCCACCUGGAUUAAUCCACUAAGAGAUCCCUCCCGCACGCGACUCACCACAAGCAUAAGGUCAACCCAGCCUUGAAUGGGCCCUUACUAUUGUUGACCACAAUUACACCCACACUUAGCAAACGCUGGUGUUAAAAAUCACACGUAGAGGGAUAUACCUUGGAGAUAUUGCGGGUUUGGUUCCAGACCACCACAAUAAAGCGAGUCACAUGAA